UUAUGGCUCAGGAUGAACGCUAGCUACAGGCUUAACACGAUGCAAGUCGAGGGGCAGCAGGACGAUAGCUUGCUAUGUUGCUGGCGACCGGCGCACGGGUGAGUAACGCGUAUCCAACCUUCCCCUUAGUAGGGCAUAGCCCGGUGAAAAUCGGAUUAAUACCCUAUGUUGUGUCAUGAGGACAUCUGAAUAACACUAAAGAUUUAUCGCUAAGGGAUGGGGAUGCGUCCGAUUAGGUAGUCGGCGGGGUAACGGCCCACCGAGCCCUCGAUCGGUAGGGUUCUGAGAGGAAGGUCCCCCACACUGGUACUGAGACACGGACCAGACUCCUACGGGAGGCAGCAGUGAGGAAUAUUGGUCAAUGGGCGUAAGCCUGAACCAGCCAAGUAGCGUGCAGGAUGACGGCCCUAUGGGUUGUAAACUGCUUUUAUACGGGGAUAAAGUGAGGGACGUGUCCCUUAUUGUAGGUACCGUAUGAAUAAGGACCGGGCUAAUUCCGUGCCAGCCGCUGC
rnacentral:rRNA from 1 species